rnacentral:rRNA from 1 species
ACAGCAGUCGCCGCGGGAAUACGUAGGGUGCAAGCGUUAAUCGGAAUUACUGGGCGUAAAGCGUGCGCAGGCGGUUAUAUAAGACAGAUGUGAAAUCCCCGGGCUCAACCUGGGAACUGCAUUGGUGACUGCAACGCUGGAGUGCGGCAGAGGGGGAUGGAAUUCCGCGUGUAGCAGUGAAAUGCGUAGAUAUGCGGAGGAACACCGAUGGCGAAGGCAAUCCCCUGGGCCUGCACUGACGCUCAUGCACGAAAGCGUGGGGAGCAAACAGGAUUAGAUACCCGCGUAGUCCCUGUCUCUUAUAC